rnacentral:rRNA from 1 species
UUUUGGAGCACUGCUGGCUAAAAUAAAUUAAAUCAUGUAUUUAUAAUUAAGCGUAUGUGGCUGAGCCUGGUUAGUACCUGGAUGGGAGACUACAUGGGAAAAGUAGGUUGCUGUUGGAA